AAUUUUCCCUUCUGUUAGAUCUUGAUGAAUAAAGCAGUCAUAAUUCAUUUCUAGAAAGACUGUUUAUACGCUGGCAUUCAAAAUGCUUUUUAUUUAGAAUAGUAGUAAAAAUGGAAAAAGAAAAAGGAAAUAAUGAUGGAAUACCAGACCAAGAGAAUUCCUUGGACUUUUCUGAACACUUUAACCAACUUGAAUUGUUGGAAACACGUGGACACCUUAUUCCUACCAGUACUCAAAGCCUUUGGGCAGGCAAUUCUCAUGCAGACGAGGAGCAAGAUGAAAAAAAGGAAGAGUGGUAUGAACUGCAAGACAAAAAAUGCAAAAAGACCCAGCAAAUUGCUUCUUUGGGCUGCUGAAAAAAAUCAGCUUAUUACAGUGCGGAGACUACUUUCUGAAAAGGCCACUCAGGUGAACACCAGGGAUGAAUACGAGUGUACCAUUCUUCAUCACACAGCCUACAGUGGACGCUUAGAUAUUAGCCGAGAGCUCAUUGCACAGGGGGCAGAUGUUCAUGCAGUGACUGUGGAUGGCUGGACGCCCCUGCACAGUGCUUUUAAGUGGAAUAAUACCAGAGUGGCUUCUUUCUGACUGCAGUAUGAUGCAGAUGUCAAUGCCCGAACAAAAGUCCUCCUGACCCCCUUGCAUCUUGCUACUGGGAACAGAGACAGCAAGGAUACCCUAGAACUCCUCCUGAUGAAGUGUUAUAUCAAACCAGGGCUGAAAAACAACUUGGAAGAAAGUGCAUUUGAUAUUGCCAGGAGGACAAGUAUCUAUCACUACCUCUUUGAAAUUGUGGAAAGCUGUACAAAUUCUUCACCUCAGUCUUAAUAGUUCUAGUAAUUUUCUUAAGUUUCUAAGCACCAGUGCCUCCUUUGUGUGAGAUGUAAAGAAUUCCCAUAAUCAAAGUUGACGUCAAACAUCUUACUACAAAAAUUCAGGGGUACUGGUUAUAACUUCUUCCAAGUGAACUGCCUGACUUUGACGUCAAAAUGUAUUUGAAAGUUGUCUGCAUAUAUCUUUAGUGAUUUCUGUGGAGUUUGUGAUUUUUAUCAGAAAUAAUUUCAAUGUGUGUAUACUUAAAAACUUGACAUGGGUUGUACAGAAACUGAUAUUUUUGAUGCUGAUCCAAGAGAAAUGUAUUUUUAAAUAUCCCAUAUCCUGGAUCUUUGUUGAGUACUUAGUAUAUUGACAUAUUUUUAUAAGGUGAGGUAACUCAGAACUUAAUUUGAGUCUUAAAUAUUCUGAUACAAUUCACCCAUUUUCUCUACCUUACCAUAGCCAGUUGCUUUCAUUUUAAAACAGAGCAAGUAACAUAUUAGUGACUUGAAUCUUCAUAAGUUAAAG